rnacentral:lncRNA from 1 species
CCCUGCACAAGCUUUUUUGCCUGCUGCCAAGUAAGAUGUGCCUUUGCUCUCCGUUUGCCUUCUGCUUGACUGUGAGGCCUCCUCAGCCAUGUGUAAUUAACAUGAAUAUGAUGUUCUUCUAAUAAGGAAAUAUCUGAAAAGCAUCAAGACUGAAAAAAGAAAGGCAUUCCUGUCUGGAGAGAAGAAAAACUCCUGCACCCAAGAGGAGUGAACAGAACUGGGAACAAAAGUAGCCAGAGAAUGAGCAGUUUCCUGUGGAAUAUAAAAUGUAUAACUUAUGCAUUGCCUGGAAAUGCCAUAAGAAAUUAAUAUUUGUUACAGAAACAGUGGGGUUGCAUUAAUAUUUUAAUGGUGAAUGAAUAUUUAAUCCAAAACUCUGGAUGGAAGGCAAACAAGACAACCGUGGCAGGAACAGUUACACUACCCGGUUAAGGAUGCUAAUGACUCAUUGGAUUUGUCAGUGGUAAUAAUGCCACACAAUUUAUAAACUAUAUAGUUCCUUUAACAUACUGGUAAACACUCCUCAGAAUCAAAAUCAGGACAAGUUUUUUUUAUUCUUUGAGACGCAGCAUGAUGUAUUGGUUGGAGCAACUAUUUGCAAUCAGGGGAGCCUGGUCUUGGAUACCAAGGCUUUAGUUUACUGGCUGUGCAACCAUAAAUAAGUUCAAUCACCUCUUUGAGCAUUGUCAUCAAGAUAAAAUGAAUGUCUACUUUAGAGGAUUGUUGGCAGCAUACGUUAUUCACUCAAUGUUUCCUUUUUGUUCCUACUAAUUUUUGCAAUAUGGUGGAAGAAAACAAAACAAAACUGUGGCUGAAAUUUCUCUUAAUUUAGCUCUAAGUCUACUUCUUUGAGAUAGGACAUAAAAUUUCCAUUUUUCUAUUUCCCCUGAAUACUUGUAUGUGUCUUUCAUCAUUUCUCUUCAGUGGAAAUUUCUGUAAAUAGUUGGAGAAAACUAUCUCGCUAAUUAAAAACCCAGUUGUAUCUAUGACCACUAAAAUUAAAUUACAAUACAUUGACAAUACCUGUUUUUUAAAUGCAUUAAGAUGUCUCCAUAUGGUCCCACUGUUAAUGAUUAUGUUUACAAUAUAAUUGCAGAAAAUCAAUAAGCUACUCCUGGCAGGUAAUUCUACUUUGUUUCAAGGCUAGAAUAUGGCCUUGUAGUACAUGGUCCCUCUUAUCUCUCCUUUGUGGUCCUGCUGUACUUUAAUAACUUCUCUAUUCUGCCAGUUUGGACUUUCUAUAGUUUAGUAUUAAAUGCAUAGGCUUUAGAGUCCAACAGCCAUUAGAUACACAUCCUCACUGGGCUUCUUAGUAGUAGUAUAGUCUUGAGCAAGGUAAACCCCAUAGGCCAGGGGGUCCUAAGUUGUAACACUGAAGCAAUGACACCUAUCUCAUCACAUUAUGAGCAUCUAUGAAAUAUACAUAUAGAAUAAAAUAUAUCAUUCUAAGUUUCCAGCUUAGGAAACUGAGAUUUAGGGAUCAAGUAACUUACUUAAGUUGAUUCAGCAAGGACUAAAACCAAGUCUUUUUGAACUCAUUUGCUGUGCACUGAAUUUCUAUAAUACACCAAGAAGACAUACUUUCUACGUGUAAAGUUACAGUCAAAAGUUAACCACAACUCAAUGCCAUACAAUGUAUUCUGUCUAAGGGCAAUAAGCCUAAAUGGCUUUAGGUUGUAGUAUUUAAGUGUAGUGUAGUAGUUGCUCACCUCAUAUGGCCCAAUCCGGAAACCAACAAAUAGGCAAUUCACAAGAGCUAGAAAGAUUACUUUAUUGCUUCUAUUUGUUUUUUUAAUGAAUCCAGGUAUUACUGAAUUUAUCCAUCCUUUUCUCAUAUUCACUAUGAAUAAAAAGUAUUCUAAUAGUUAGAUGUUUCUUCCAAUCUUAGAUAUUGUCUUCUUCUGCUAUAUCAAUCCUAAGACUCUGAAUCUCAGUUGUUCAUUUCUUAAAGAGAAUAUGUACAGUGAUGACAUCAGGCCCUAUUUAAUUCUCACUUCUCUAAGAAAUUAACUAAGUGGGACAUUAAGAAAAGAAUUUUAAAGAUAGUCUAGAUGGAAAACCCCAAUGACUCUACAAAAGUACUCCCAGACUGUAGGAUACAAAGUAAAAAGAAAAGAAAAUCAAUAAUAUUUCUACCUUCUAGAAAUGAACAAUUAGAAACUCAAGUUUAAAACAAAAUACUACCUAUCAUAGUUCAAAAAAAAACCUGAAGUUUUAGGUUUAAGUCCCUGGUAUAAAUCUAAUGAAACAGAUGGACACAGUGGCUCACACUUGUAAUCUCAGCACUUUGGGAGGCUGAGGUGGGCAGAUCACGAGGUCAGGAAAUCGAGACCACCCUGGCCAACAUGGUGAAAGUCCGUCUCUACUAAAAAUACAAAAAUUAGCUGGGAGUGUUGGCACAUGCCUGUAAUCCCAGCUCCUCAGGAGGCUGAGGCAGGAGAAUCGCUUGGACCAGGGAGUCAGAGUUUGCAAUGAGCCGAGAUCAUGCCACUGUACUCCAGCCUGGCAACAGAGCAAGACUCCAUUUCAAAAAAAAAAAAAAAAAAAAAAAAUCUAAUAAAGCACGCAUAGGAUCUUUAUUAGUACCUGAAACUACACAAAAUUUAUGAAAAAAAUGGUAAGACAUACUAUGUUCAUGAAUUGGAAAUCUCAACAAAGUAAAAAGUCAGUGAUAUGGUUUGGCUCUGUGUCCCCACCCAAAUAUCAUUUUAGAGCUCCCAUAAUUCCCACGUGUUGUGGCAGGAACAUGGUGGAAGAUAAUUGAAUCAUGAGGGUGGGUUUUUCCCAUGCUGUUCCCAUGAUAGUGAAUAAGUCUCAGAAGAUCUGAUGGUUUUAAAAAACGGGAGUUUCCCUGCACAAGCUCUCUUCUCUUGUCUGCCACCAUGUGAGAUGUAUCUUUCACUUUCUUUCAUGAUUGUGAGGCCUCUCCAGCCACCUGGAACUGUAAGUCCAACAAACCUCUUUCUUUUGUAAAUUGCCCAGUUUUGGAUAUGUCUUUAUGAGCAUGUGAAAACAGACUAAUAAACUCAGUUUUCCCCAUUUUGACCUAUUGGUUUAAUAAAUUUCUUAUUGAAUCCCAGCAGGAAUUUUUGUAGAUAUAGACAAAUUGAUUCUAAAACUUUUAUGGAAAGCC